GGUCGUAUAGUGUAAUGGCUAGCACAUCGGAUUCUGAGCUAUUUGUCAUCUUCCGGUAAUUCCGGUUCGAUCCCGGGUAUGACCU